AUGCCCUGUUUUUUUCUGGGAUUUAUUUUUUUCAAGAUAAACAUGCCCAUUCUUUGCUGUUGCUGUCUCUCGUCGACUCCAGAAGAGCGGGAACCUCUUCCUGUAAAUACAAGACAGCCCUGUCGAAACAUUGGGGUCUUCAGUAAGGAGGGGACCCUCACGUUGAAGCUGAUGAACGUAUGUGCCGUUGACACCCGCUUCUCAGAUAUCGCUAAAACUUUCAACAAGCAGCACAACGAUCACUCUGCCAUGAUGAGGGCUGCCCAAAAGCUGAAGGAGGUUUCUGGCUGUGCUCCCACUGCUACUCUUACAGCCUGCAUAGACACGAUUCAGCGGGAACAUGGUGCCUGCACUGUGCAGGUGCACGUGGAGGGCUAUAGCUUUUUCCUCGUUGUAAAAGACAAGAAAGUGCCUGACAAACUGAAGCAGGCCCAGCAGCAGGUGGGGGAGCUGAGUCGUUCCACAAAGCGUGUCCUCGCGAGAAAAACGACACUCCAGGAAAUGAUCCGCUCGCUGCUCCAGAGCCAGGCUCAGCUGGAGGAGAGGAUCAAAACUGCAAACCCUGAGUAUCUGGACCAGCACUCCAGGAUCGUGUUGCUGACCUGUGUCUGGAGCAGAAGGAGCACGCGUCCUUGCACGUUUCGAGGGGCCGCUGCCAUCAUCCCGCCGGUCGCCCUUUGCGGUGCCAAGUGCCACAUCUGCACCGGCUCCUCCUCUCCCUUUCUCCCAAAUGAGAUGGAUUCGUGCAGUGAUUCGGUAUGA
rnacentral:lncRNA from 1 species